rnacentral:rRNA from 1 species
GACGAACUUUGGCGGCGUGCUUAACACAUGCAAGUCGAACGGAAAGGCCCUGCUUUUGUGGGGUGCUCGAGUGGCGAACGGGUGAGUAACACGUGAGUAACCUGCCCUUGACUUUGGGAUAACUUCAGGAAACUGGGGCUAAUACCGGAUAGGAGCUCCUGCUGCAUGGUGGGGGUUGGAAAGUUUCGGCGGUUGGGGAUGGACUCGCGGCUUAUCAGCUUGUUGGUGGGGUAGUGGCUUACCAAGGCUUUGACGGGUAGCCGGCCUGAGUGGGUGACCGGCCACAUUGGGACUGAGAUACGGCCCAGACUCCUACGGGAGGCAGCAGUGGGGAAUAUUGCACAAUGGGCGGAAGCCUGAUGCAACAACGCCGCGUGCGGGAUGACGGCCUUCGGGUUGUAAACCGCUUUCGCCUGUGACGAAGCGUGAGUGACGGUAAUGGGUAAAGAAGCACCGGCUAACUACGUGCCAGCAGCCGCGGUGAUACGUAGGGUGCGAGCGUUGUCCGGAUUUAUUGGGCGUAAAGGGCUCGUAGGUGGUUGAUCGCGUCGGAAGUGUAAUCUUGGGGCUUAACCCUGAGCGUGCUUUCGAUACGGGUUGACUUGAGGAAGGUAGGGGAGAAUGGAAUUCCUGGUGGAGCGGUGGAAUGCGCAGAUAUCAGGAGGAACACCAGUGGCGAAGGCGGUUCUCUGGGCCUUUCCUGACGCUGAGGAGCGAAAGCGUGGGGAGCGAACAGGCUUAGAUACCCUGGUAGUCCACGCUGUAAACGGUGGGUACUAGGUGUGGGGUCCAUUCCACGGGUUCCGUGCCGUAGCUAACGCUUUAAGUACCCCGCCUGGGGAGUACGGCCGCAAGGCUAAAACUCAAAGGAAUUGACGGGGCCCCGCACAAGCGGCGGAGCAUGCGGAUUAAUUCGAUGCAACGCGUAGAACCUUACCUGGGUUUGACAUGGAUCGGGAGUGCUCAGAGAUGGGUGUGCCUCUUUUGGGGUCGGUUCACAGGUGGUGCAUGCCUGUCGUCAGCUCGUGUCGUGAGAUGUUGGGUUAAGUCCCGCAACGAGCGCAACCCUUGUUCACUGUUGCCAGCACGUUAUGGUGGGGACUCAGUGGAGACCGCCGGGGUCAACUCGGAGGAAGGUGGGGAUGACGUCAAGUCCUCAUGCCCCUUAUGUCCAGGGCUUCACGCAUGCUACAAUGGCUGGUACAGAGAGUGGCGAGCCUGUGAGGGUGAGCGAAUCUCGGAAAGCCGGUCUCAGUUCGGAUUGGGGUCUGCAACUCGACCUCAUGAAGUCGGAGUCGCUAGUAAUCGCAGAUCAGCAACGCUGCGGUGAAUACGUUCCCGGGGC